rnacentral:lncRNA from 1 species
AGGGUCUCACCAUGUUGCCCAGGCUGGUCUUGAACUCCUGGACUCAUCCUAAAGUGCUGGCCUCUCAUUCCCUGUCUGUGCACACCUCACGGCAAGGGCCAGCCUGUUUCCUCCCGGUCACCUCCAAAUCUUGCUGCUUUUAAUUCAACUCAGAGCAACACAGUUCCUCUGACAUGGGCCUUGGCUGUGCUUCUUUGGGGGUGAAGAGAUUGGGGAGGAAGUCUCCACCCCUGGGAGGCAGAAGCCAGGCAUAGCGCGCUGGCUAGGACUCCAGUACCGUGAAGGGAGGCAGUGAGAGCAGACAUCUGUGCCUCAUUCCUGAUCUCAAGGGGAAAGCAAGAACAAGGGAGGCUUCCUCAGGAUCUCGAACCUGCGGAAGGAGGACCAGUCUGUGUACUUCUGCCAAGUCCAGCUGGACAUACAGAUCAGGGAGGCUGUCGUGGCAGUCCAUCAAGGGGACCCACCUCACCAUCACCCAGGCCCUCAGGCAGCCCCUCCACAGGGCCCCUCUCCUGCCUGGACAGCUCUGCUGGUCUCCCCGUCCCCUGGAGAA